rnacentral:rRNA from 1 species
GAUGAACGCUAGCUACAGGCUUAACACAUGCAAGUCGAGGGGCAGCAUUUUAGUUUGCUUGCAAACUGAAGAUGGCGACCGGCGCACGGGUGAGUAACACGUAUCCAACCUGCCGAUAACUCCGGAAUAGCCUUUCGAAAGAAAGAUUAAUACCGGAUAGCAUACGAAUAUCGCAUGAUAUUUUUAUUAAAGAAUUUCGGUUAUCGAUGGGGAUGCGUUCCAUUAGUUUGUUGGCGGGGUAACGGCCCACCAAGACUACGAUGGAUAGGGGUUCUGAGAGGAAGGUCCCCCACAUUGGAACUGAGGCACGGUCCAAACUCCUACGGGAGGCAGCAGUGAGGAAUAUUGGUCAAUGGGCGAGAGCCUGAACCAGCCAAGUAGCGUGGGGGAUGAAGGCUCUAUGGGUCGUAAACUUCUUUUAUAUGGGAAUAAAGUUUUCCACGUGUGGAAUUUUGUAUGUACCAUAUGAAUAAGGAUCGGCUAACUCCGUGCCAGCAGCCGCGGUAAUACGGAGGAUCCGAGCGUUAUCCGGAUUUAUUGGGUUUAAAGGGAGCGUAGGUGGAUUGUUAAGUCAGUUGUGAAAGUUUGCGGCUCAACCGUAAAAUUGCAGUUGAAACUGGCAGUCUUGAGUACAGUAGAGGUGGGCGGAAUUCGUGGUGUAGCGGUGAAAUGCUUAGAUAUCACGAAGAACUCCGAUUGCGAAGGCAGCUCACUAGACUGUCACUGACACUGAUG